rnacentral:rRNA from 1 species
CCGGCGACCGGCGCACGGGUGAGUAACACGUAUGCAACCUGCCCUCUUCAGGGGGACAACCUUCCGAAAGGGGGGCUAAUCCCGCGUAUAUCGGUUUCGGGCAUCCGAGAUCGAGGAAAGAUUCAUCGGAAGAGGAUGGGCAUGCGGCGCAUUAGCUAGACGGCGGGGUAACGGCCCACCGUGGCGACGAUGCGUAGGGGUUCUGAGAGGAAGGUCCCCCACACUGGUACUGAGACACGGACCAGACUCCUACGGAAGGCAGCAG